AUUGAACGCUGGCGGCAUGCCUUACACAUGCAAGUCGAACGGCAGCACGGGACUCGGGCAACUGAGCCCUGGUGGCGAGUGGCGAACGGGUGAGUAAUGCAUCGGAACGUACCCAGUAGUGGGGGAUAACUAGUCGAAAGAUUAGCUAAUACCGCAUACGACCUAUGGGUGAAAGCGGGGGAUUCGCAAGAACCUCGCGCUAUCGGAGCGGCCGAUGUCUGAUAGCUAGUUGGCGGGGUAAAAGCCCACCAAGGCUUCGAUCAGUAGCUGGUCUGAGAGGACGACCAGCCACACUGGGACUGAGACACGGCCCAGACUCCUACGGGGGGCAGCAGUGGGGAAUUUUGGACAAUGGGCGCAAGCCUGAUCCAGCCAUGCCGCGUGCGGGAAGAAGGCCU
rnacentral:rRNA from 1 species